GUGCUCGCUCUGCAGCAGCACAUAUACUAAAAGUGGAACAAUACAGAGAAGACGGCCAUGGCCCCUACACAAGGAUGACACACACACUCACGGAGCACUCCCGAUUUUA